rnacentral:rRNA from 1 species
ACAUGUCUUUUUGAAAAUAAUUUAAAGUYUWAUYUGCUCAAUGAUUAAUUAAAUAGCUGCAGAAUCCUAACUGUACAAAGGUAGCAUAAUCAAUAGUUUUUUAAUUAAAAGCUGGAAUGAAUGAUUUGAUAAGGUAAAUAUUGUCUCAAUUUUAAUAGAGUUAGAAUUUUUUUUUUUGUUAAAAUACAAAAUUGUGUUUAAAAGACGAGAAGACCCUAUAGAAUUUUAUAUUUUAUUUUAAAAAUAUUUUAUUUAAAAAAUAAAUUUUAAAAGAAAAUUAUUAGGUUGGGGAAAUUAUUAAAUUAAUUAAAUUUUAAUAAAUAAAAAACUAUAAUUAUAGAUUAAUAGAUCUUUAAAUAAAAAUUAAUAGAAUAAAUUACCUUAGGGAUAACAGCGUAAUUUUUUUGGAGAGAUCAAAUUGAUAAAAAAGAUUGCGACCUCGAUGUUGAAUUAAGAUAAAAUUUUAAUGAAGAAKUUAAAAAUUUUUGGUCUGUUCGACCAUUAAAAUCUUAC